CUCGAUCAAUCACUUCCAUUGCUCCCACUAGAUCGUCCCAGGAGUCGACUACAGUCACAGAAUGUGGCGUGGUUUACAAAUCAAAAUGUUUUCGAGCAAUCGUUUAUGACACAUGGAACGUCACAUUGAGCGCCGCUGAAUCUAUUUGUGAGAAUAAACUGGCUAACAUUUAUGACGUUACACACUACAACAUGCUUCGAGAUUAUUUACUACCAAUGAUCCCUGAUAGGCUACCAUGGAUUGGUGUUCGUACGGGAAUGACUUACGAAGUACGACGAGCCUUGGUCAUUUUAAUAAUGUAGCCUUACUGAACGGUGGACUGUAUGCAACGACGGGCGAAGCUGUAAAUCUGCCAACUGAGGUUUGGUAUCCGAAUUAUCCGUCUUCCGCUGAAUCGUUUACAACUGUUGUUGUUUAUGUCACUCGAAACCCGGAGAACAAUUCUCAAGAGAUUUUCAAUAUUCCUCCUUCCUAUGCAUAUCACGGAGCCAUCUGUGA